UAGAACAAUGCCUGACACAGAUACAGAUCUCAAAGCAAGGCUUGUUGGACAAAUAAAUGAAGAUGAGCCCAAGAGCCCAGGAGAGGGACCGGGAACAGCAGGGCCUCCGUGACUCACACAAGCUUCAUCCCUGAACCAAGGACGCAGCCUGCCAACAAUGGCCCCAAGCCACACCCCGCCACAGGGGGAACUGAUGCUGCGGUGAGAAGUGACAGCUUUCUGUUGACUCUUUUUUUUUUCAAGCAGAAUAUGAAUUGAGACAUACUUUCAUUUUCAUAAUCAGAACCUAACACUUAGUAACCAAUGUUGGUGGAAGCAAAUGAGAUCACAGUUUGUCUGUUCCAAACUCAUCUCUGGGAAAAGGAGGAGGAAAAAUUAUUGGCACUAUGUUCAGAAUCAUAGCUGAAGAUGCAGAAAUUGUUCAUCCCAAUUUUGCCUUUGUAAGUAAUGUGGGGGCAGUUCUUAUUAGUAAUUGCCAAUCUCUACUGAGACACAGUAUUUUGCUAGGCGCUUUAUAUUCAUUUCCUGGUAUGAUCAUGACAUUAACCCUGUGAAAUGCGUACCCUUACUAUCUCCAUGUGAAGAAAUGAGGGAACUGAGGACCAGAGAGGUGAACUGACUUGUCCAAAGACACACAGUAAGGGCUGUGACUCUCCGCUUUCUAAGAUUUUUGUUCUUAUCGCUCCACAGCACAUAGCAGGCGUAGUAUGAAGGCAGCAUGCUGCACAAUUUCGCUGUUUGUUUCUUGGAAUAAUAAUUUAUAGGGGACUGCUUCUAGAUUCCAAAGGAAAGAGAAAGGAAAUAUGCCCCAAACUCAGGCUUUCAGCCUGGCCCUGCCUGACUCACUGAGCUGCAUUGGACAAAUGAUUCAUUCACUGGCCUUGACCUCAGUGGGUUUGGCCACCCAUUGAGAGUGAAGUCACACCUCCAGCACUGCGAUGCAUUUAUUGAUCCACUCACCUAGCUUCAUGGCAGGCAAGAAACAGGCCUGUGUGAGCCUGCCCAGGAUCAGGGACAGGAGAGCACACAGGUGUUUCUGGAUAUCCUCAAGCUGUAGCUGGGCUGCUCGAUUCUUCCCUAGGAGAUCCUCCGGGGGCCUGAAUUAGUUUGCUAGGGCUUCCGUAACAAAGCGCCACAGACUGAGCGGCUUAAAUAAAAAUGUGUCAUCUCAUGGUUCUGGAGGCUGGAAGUCUGAGAUCAAGGUGCUGGGGAUUAGGACUUGAACAUAUGUUUUUUGGGGGCACACUUCAACCCUCCGGAGGGCCUGUGCCCCAAAGAGAGCCUCCUUCUGUGUGCAGUGAAGGUGUGAGUUCUAAACAUGAGAAAAAAACACCCCUUGUUCUUGGAUAGGGUGACUCGAUACCACAAGCAGGUCCAACUGGCCCAGGUAAAUAUAUUCGUUUAACAUGAUCGUCACCAAAAUAUUGAGGGUAGGUGUUUUUUUCUGGAGUUAAACAAGUUGAUUCUGGAGUUGAUAUGAAAUAAUAAACAAGCAAAAAUAGCCAGAAUUGUUUUUUUUAAAAAAGGGCAAUGGGGUGGAGGUAAGCCCUACCAGACAUUAAAACACAUCAUAAAGCUUCUGUAAUUGGCAGGGCACAGUGGCUCAUGCCUGUAACCCCAGCACUUUGAGAGGCUGUGAUGGGAGGAUUGCUUGAGCCCAGGAGUUUCAGACCAGCCUGAGCAACAUAGCGAGACUCCAUCUCUACAAAAAUAAAAAAUUAAAAGUUAGCUAAGUGUGGUGGUGUGCACUCGUAAUCUCAGCUAUUCCAGAAGUUGAGGUGGAAGGCUUGCUUAAGCCAAGGAAUCUGAGGCUGCAUUGAGCCAUGAUCACACCACUGCACUCCAGCCUGGGGGAUGGAGUGAGA
rnacentral:lncRNA from 10 species